CCUACGGGAGGCUGCAGUGAGGAAUAUUGGUCAAUGGACGCAAGUCUGAACCAGCCAUGCCGCGUGCAGGAAGACGGCUCUAUGAGUUGUAAACUGCUUUUGUACGAGGGUAAACGCAGAUACGUGUAUCUGUCUGAAAGUAUCGUACGAAUAAGGAUCGGCUAACUCCGUGCCAGCAGCCGAGGUAAUACGGAGGAUUCAAGCGUUAUCCGGAGUUAUUGGGUUUAAAGGGUGCGUAGGCGGUCGGAUAAGUUAGAGGUGAAAUCCCGAGGCUCAACUUCGGAAUUGCCUCUGAUACUGUGCGGCUAGAGAGUAGAUGCGGUAGGCGGAAUGUAUGGUGUAGCGGUGAAAUGCUUAGAGAUCAUACAGAACACCGAUUGCGAAGGCAGCUUACCAAGCUACUUCUGACGUUGAGGCACGAAAGCGUGGGGAGCAAACAGGAUUAGAUACCCGGGUAGUC
rnacentral:rRNA from 1 species